AAGGAAACAUAGAAUCAUCAUCUUCAGUUUUGAAAGACUUAGUUAGGUUUUUCUAAUUUGAAAAACUUAGUUAAGUUUUUCUCAUUUCUUUUAUUUUUUGGUAUCCUGGGCCUAUAGCUCAGUUGGUUAGAGCACACGCCUGAUAAGCGUGAGGUC
rnacentral:misc_RNA from 1 species